GAUGAACGCUGGCGGCGUGCCUAAUACAUGCAAGUCGAGCGAACAGACGAGGAGCUUGCUCCUCUGACGUUAGCGGCGGACGGGUGAGUAACACGUGGAUAACCUACCUAUAAGACUGGGAUAACUUCGGGAAACCGGAGCUAAUACCGGAUAAUAUAUUGAACCGCAUUGUUCAAUAGUGAAAGACGGUUUUGCUGUCACUUAUAGAUGGAUCCGCGCCGCAUUAGCUAGUUGGUAAGGUAACGGCUUACCAAGGCGACGAUGCGUAGCCGACCUGAGAGGGUGAUCGGCCACACUGGAACUGAGACACGGUCCAGACUCCUACGGGAGGCAGCAGUAGGGAAUCUUCCGCAAUGGGCGAAAGCUUGACGGAGCAACGCCGCGUGAGUGAUGAAGGUCUUCGGAUCGUAAAACUCUGUUAUUAGGGAAGAACAAAUGUGUAAGUAACUAUGCACGUCUUGACGGUACCUAAUCAGAAAGCCACGGCUAACUACGUG
rnacentral:rRNA from 1 species